rnacentral:rRNA from 2 species
AGACACUAAGCGGAUUAGUGGCGAACGGGUGAGUAACGCGUGAGUAACCUGCCUUACACAAGGGGAUAGCCUUUGGAAACGAAGAAUAAUACCCUAUAAAACUAUAAAAGCACAUGCUAGAAUGGUCAAAGUGCUAGCGGUGUAAGAUGGACUUGCGUCUGAUUAGCUAGUUGGUGAGAUAAAAGCUCACCAAGGCAACGAUCAGUAGCCGGCCUGAGAGAGUGUACGGCCACAUUGGGACUGAGACACGGCCCAGACUCCUACGGGAGGCAGCAGUGGGGAAUUUUGCACAAUGGGGGAAACCCUGAUGCAGCGACGCCGCGUGAUUUAGAAGGCCUUCGGGUUGUAAAAAUCUUUUGUAUAGGAAGAAAAUGACAGUACUAUACGAAUAAGGUCCGGCUAAUUACGUGCCAGCAGCCGCGGUAAUACGUAAGGACCGAGCGUUGUCCGGAAUCAUUGGGCGUAAAGGGUACGUAGGCGGCUAGAAAAGUUAGAAGUCAAAGGCUAUAGCUCAACUAUAGUAAGCUUCUAAAACUAUUUAGCUUGAGAAAUGGAAGGGAAAGUGGAAUUCCUAGUGUAGCGGUGGAAUGCGCAGAUAUUAGGAAGAAUACCGGUGGCGAAGGCGACUUUCUGGCCAUUAUCUGACGCUGAGGUACGAAAGCGUGGGUAGCAAACAGG